rnacentral:rRNA from 1 species
AGCAGCCGCGGUAAUUCCAGCUCCAAUAGCGUAUAUUAAAGUUGCUGCAGUUAAAAAGCUCGUAGUUGAAUUUCGGGACCAAUAUGUCGGUCGUGCCUCGGUACGUACUGGCAUCGUUGGUUUCUCCCUUCUGACGAACCAUGAUGUCAUUUAUUUGGUGUCGUGGGGAAUCAGGACUGUUACUUUGAAAAAUUAGAGUGUUUAAAGCAGGCUCACGCUUGAAUACAUUAGCAUGGAAUAAUGAAAUAGGACGUUUGAUUCUAUUUUGUUGGUUUCUAGGAUCGACGUAAUGAUUAAUAGGGAUAGUUGGGGGCAUUAGUAUUCAAUUGUCAGAGGUGAAAUUCUUGGAUUUAUUGAAGACUAACUACUGCGAAAGCAUUUGCCAAGGAUGUUUUCAUUAAUCAAGAACGAAAGUUAGGGGAUCGAAGACGAUCAGAUACCGUCGUAGUCUUAACCAUAAACUAUGCCGACUAGGGAUCGGAUGAUGUUAAUUUUUUAAUGUACUCAUUCGGCGUACCCG